rnacentral:lncRNA from 13 species
AUGGCCAGUUUUUAUUUCUCAAAAUCAAAAUCUUACCUCAUCUUAAGCCAUUCCUCCCCUCUUUCUACAAUGGGCUGGCAACAACCACCCAACACCUGGAAGUACAUACAAACUCUGUUUUGGGAAGGGGAAGGGUUUCAGAGUCCCUACAUUGCUCAUUCCUUUCACUUAAUCUCCCAACAAGCCUUAUUUAGCUUCCUUUUGAUGUGGAAAACCUGCAAGAGAUAUACAUUGCCCAGAGUUGUAUAUUUUGUCCUGCCUUACCCCCACCCCAUGCCCAUUACUGGCACCCUGAACAAAUCUAGCCUGCAGGCCUUCUCCAUGUACUCUCUGUAAGUGAAGUUGGAAAAGUGUAGAUAUUGUCUUGUGUAAGCAUUCAUUGUUCUAUAUACUUCAAAAUGAUGGGUGACAGCCCCUGUCCCAUGGUGCCAUCCCCACCAAAGAAACGCAAAACCACAGAAGCAGAACUAUGUCUGUUGUGAAGAAAAGUCAUUUUCAUUCCCAGUGAGUGCCCCAGUUGCCUAGGGUUGUAUUCACUUUGUAGUUUUUACCCCAGACAGAUGAGGAUCGACUGGAGUGUUUUUCUCCCUCGA